GGUUGAAGGUUGGGUAACACUAACUGGAGGACCGAACCGACUAAUGUUGAAAAAUUAGCGGAUGACUUGUGGCUGGGGGUGAAAGGCCAAUCAAACCGGGAGAUAGCUGGUUCUCCCCGAAAGCUAUUUAGGUAGCGCCUCGUGAACUCAUCUCCGGGGGUAGAGCACUGUUUCGGCUAGGGGGUCAUCCCGACUUACCAACCCGAUGCAAACUGCGAAUACCGGAGAAUGUUAUCACGGGAGACACACGGCGGGUGCUAACGUUCGUCGUGAAGAGGGAAACAACCCAGACCGCCGGCUAAGGUCCCAAAGUCAUAAUUAAGUGGGAAACGAAGUGGGAAGGCUCAGACAGCCAGGAUGUUGGCUUAGAAGCAGCCAUCAUUUAAAGAAAGCGUAAUAGCUCACUGGUCGAGUCGGCCUGCGCGGAAGAUGUAACGGGGCUAAAUUAUGCACCGAAGCCGCGGCAGCGAUAUGUAAAUAUUGUUGGGUAGGGGAGCGUUCUGUAAGCCUGUGAAGGUGACCUGUGAGGGUUGCUGGAGGUAUCAGAAGUGCGAAUGCUGACAUAAGUAACGAUAAUGCGGGUGAAAAACCCGCACGCCGGAAGACCAAGGGUUCCUGUCCAACGUUAAUCGGGGCAGGGUGAGUCGACCCCUAAGGCGAGGCUGAAAAGCGUAGUCGAUGGGCAACGGGUUAAUAUUCCCGUACUGGUGGUAACUGCGAAGGGGGGACGGAGAAAGCUAAAUCAUCCGGGCGACGGUUGUCCCGGUUUAAGCGUGCAGGUGGACUGACCAGGCAAAUCCGGUCGGUUGUUAACACUGAGGCGUGACGACGAGCCAC
rnacentral:rRNA from 1 species